GAUGAACGCUAGCUACAGGCUUAACACAUGCAAGUCGAGGGGAAACGACAUUGAAGCUUGCUUCGAUGGUCGUCGACCGGCGCACGGGUGAGUAACGCGUAUCCAACCUGCCACUGACCAAGGGAUAACCCGUCGAAAGUCGGCCUAAUACCUUAUGCAGUCGUCGGAAGUCAUCUGAUGACGACGAAAGAUUUCAUCGGUGAGAGAUGGGGAUGCGUCUGAUUAGCUUGUUGGCGGGGUAACGGCCCACCAAGGCAACGAUCAGUAGGGGUUCUGAGAGGAAGGUCCCCCACAUUGGAACUGAGACACGGUCCAAACUCCUACGGGAGGCAGCAGUGAGGAAUAUUGGUCAAUGGGCGAGAGCCUGAACCAGCCAAGUAGCGUGCAGGAUGACGGCCCUAUGGGUUGUAAACUGCUUUUAUGCGGGGAUAAAGUGAGGGACGUGUCCUUCAUUGCAGGUACCGCAUGAAUAAGGACCGGCUAAUUCCGUG
rnacentral:rRNA from 1 species